AGUGAACGCUGGCGGUAGGCCUAACACAUGCAAGUCGAACGGCAGCACAGUAAGAGCUUGCUCUUACGGGUGGCGAGUGGCGGACGGGUGAGGAAUACAUCGGAAUCUACUUUUUCGUGGGGGAUAACGUAGGGAAACUUACGCUAAUACCGCAUACGACCUACGGGUGAAAGCAGGGGAUCUUCGGACCUUGCGCGAUUGAAUGAGCCGAUGUCGGAUUAGCUAGUUGGCGGGGUAAAGGCCCACCAAGGCGACGAUCCGUAGCUGGUCUGAGAGGAUGAUCCGCCCCACUGGAAACGAGAGACGGGCCAGACCCCCACGGGAGGCCGGCGUGGGGAAAAUUUGACAAUGGGCGCCAGACUGAUCCCGCCCUACCCCGUGGGUGAAAAAGGCCUUUCGGUUGUAAAGCCCCUUUUGUUGGAAAGAAAAGCAGCAGGUUAAUACCCCGCUGUUCUGACGGUACCCAAAGAAUAGCACCGGCUAACUUCGUG
rnacentral:rRNA from 1 species